CGACCGCAUGGAGAUGCGUGGCUCUUAUGGGAACAGCAAGGAACCGGAAUCUGCAUUUCCUGGAAUGCCCGGAACCCCGCUUUGCUGGCCGGUAAUUGUCUGCCCAGCAGGUGGCAGCAGAGUUGCGUUGCUCCUGAGCGCUGUAAGGACAGCACGGAGAUGCGCGGCUCUUCAGGCAGCAGCAAGGAACCGGAAUCUGCAUUUCCUGGGAUGCCCGGAACCCCGCUUUGCUGGCCGGUAAUUGUCUGCCCAGCAGGUGAAGAUGCCUUCGACGCUUCCAGUCGAUGACUUCCCCCCUGCGACGCCAUCGGCUUUCCAGGCCUCCCACACUCACCGCCAGCUCGGUUCAGUCAACCGUUACCCGAAUCCCCGCUCCGUUCCCUUUCCAUGAUCUUCCCGUCACUCUGCCACAAGCCCCUACCAAGGUCAUCGCAGGCAGCGUGUGGGAUGCGGCGCUCGGUCUCAUUGCAGUUCAUCCCAUCGGCCUCAGCCCAGCGAUCCAACCCACCCGCACCCUUCCUGAGGGCCCUUCUGCUCCCAGGCCAAUCAACGCUUCCUUCUGAUGCCAUCUGAGUUCCCUCCAGGCCACUUUCAGACUCAUGGCUCUUUGUGGCCAUUUUGAGAGUUGCGCUGAUUUCAGCGUGUGCAUUCAAUUGACUUCAACCAAAUUGGCUUUAGCUUGACAUACAAUUAAUGUAAACCAAAUUGGCUUUAGCCUUGCAUUCAAUUGGCUUCAACCAAAUUGGCUUUGGCUUUGCAUUCAAUUGACUUCAACCAAAUUGGCUUUGGCUUUAUAUUCAAUUGACUUCAACCAAAUUGGCUUUAGCUUUACAUUCAAUUGACUUCAACCAAAUUGGCUUUAGCUUUACGUUCAAUUGACUUCAACCAAAUUGGCUUUAGCUUUACAUCCAAUUAAUGUAAGCCAAAUUGGCUUUAGCUUUGCCUUGGUUACGGGGUUGGGCUAGCCUUGCUUUGUUUGCUCCUAGGCAGGGCUAACCCAACCCCGUAACCAAGGGCCGUCGGAGGCGAUUUUGUUCCUUCCGGCCAGUCUGAGACUCGCGCCCCAUUGCGGCCAUUUUGAGAGUUGCGCUGAUUUCAGCAUCUGCGUUCAAUUUAUCUCAACCAAAUUGGCUUUAGCCUUGCAAUCAUUUUGCAUCAACCAAAUUGGCUUUGGCUUUGCAUUCAAUUGACUUCAACCAAAUUGGCUUUGGCUUUGCAUUCAAUUGGCUUCAACCAAAUUGGCUUUGGCUUUGCAUUCAAUUGACUUCAACCAAAUUGGCUUUAGCCUUGCAUUCAAUUGGCUUCAACCAAAUUGGCUUUAGCUUUACAUUCAAUUGACUUCAACCAAAUUGGCUUUAGCUUUACAUUCAAUUGGCUUCAACCAAAUUGACUUUAGUUUUACAUCCAAUUAAUGUAAGCCAAAUUGGCUUUAGCUUUGCCUUGGUUACGGGGUUGGGCUAGCCUUGCUUUGUUUGUUCCUAGGCAGGGCUAACCCAACCCCGUAACCAAGGGCCGUCGGAGGCGAUUUUGUUCCUUCCCGGCCAGUCUGAGACUCGCGCCCCAUUGCGGCCAUUUUGAGAGUUGCGCUGAUUUCAGCAUCUGCGUUCAAUUUAUCUCAACCAAAUUGGCUUUAGCCUUGCAAUCAUUUUGCAUCAACCAAAUUGGCUUUGGCUUUGCAUUCAAUUGACUUCAACCAAAUUGGCUUUAGCCUUGCAUUCAAUUGGCUUCAACCAAAUUGGCUUUAGCUUUACAUUCAAUUGGCUUCAACCAAAUUGGCUUUAGUUUUACAUUCAAUUAAUGUAAGCCAAAUUGGCUUUAGCUUUGCCUUGGUUACGGGGUUGGGCUAGCCUUGCUUUGUUUGCUCCUAGGCAGGGCUAACCCAACCCCGUAACCAAGGGCCGUCGGAGGCGAUUUUGUUCCUUCCCGGCCAGUCUGAGACUCGCGCCCCUUUGUGGCCGUUCUGAGAAUUGCAAUGUCUUUGGGUGGGCUGAGAUCUGCACUGCUUUUGAGGUGGGUUGCGGUAUGCAACAUUCUCACAAGUGUGGUGUCACUAAUGGGGUGUGGAGGCUUUGUACCCUUUCUCUGGUUGGUCUGACAUCUAUGCGAACCAUGUCUUAAAGUGUACUGCAUAUGCAUCUGCUGCGCCUGUAAAUUGCGUCGUGCCAUGUAUGCAAUAUGUGUUAAGUUGCGCCUGUAAACUGUGUUGUGCCAUGUACAGAAUGUGUGGAUGCUGCGCCUAUAAACUAAGUCUUGGAAUCAGAGACCCAUAUUCAUUACAUGUUUUGCUUCUCAAUGUG